rnacentral:lncRNA from 1 species
AAGCAUCUCUUAAAUUUAGUUUCUGAACUUGAUCUUUAAUUAUUUAAUAAAUGCCGAUAUUUUUCGGAACAAGUAACGAUGGUUCAUGUUGCAUUAAUUAAUGCAGGUUAAGGUUACGUUGGCAGGUGGCGCCAAUACUUCCGGCGACGUCUUAAAAGGCAAAGAAAACCCAUUCUCACCAAAGGCUUACCUGAUGCGAUACUGGGACAAAACCGUGAGCAAAAAUUCACCAAAACCACACUUUCUUCUCUCAAAAGCCUCCCCAUUGAACGCCGUCGAAACGGCGACUUAUUCCAAACUCGCCGAGCAGAAAACCCUCUCCUCAGUCCUCCCGUCCUUUUGCUCGUCCGCUAAACUCUUCUGCUUCCCCGACUUGUCGCCGAGUCUCGAAAAACACGGCGCCGACGCCAACUUCGCUGUUUAUGAAAACAAGAACUUCACCAAUUACGGAACCGCUGGACUCGGUGGAGUCAACUCCUUCAAGAACUACUCGGAGGACGGAAACGUCGAAGUGGACUCGUUCCGCCGAUACAGCCGCGACUCAGCGGGUCACAAUGACAAAUUCUCCGCUUACGCCUCUCAUAGCAACGUUGUCGACGACAGCUUCAACACAUACGGAACCGGCGCCACUGGUGGCGCUGGUGAUUUCAAGAGUUACAACAGAGAAGUCAACGUCCCGAACCUCAGAUUCACAUCGUAUUCGGAUGCCGGUAACGGCAGGGCCCAGACGUUCUCGAGCUACACCGAAAACACCAACUCAGGUGGGGAGUCGUUCUCGAGUUACGGGAAGAACGGGAACGGGUUGCCCAACGAGUUUAUGUCUUACGCGAAAGAGUCGAAUGUGAUACAGAGCAACUUCACAUCGUAUGGGGAGGCGGGUAACGCGGCAAACGACACGUUCAAGUCGUACGGGAGUGAUGGGAACGUGCCGGAGCAGAAUUUCAAGAGCUAUGGAGAUGGUGGCAAUUCUGGGAUCGAGAGUUUUACCAGUUACAAUCCGCAGUCCAAUGUGGGUGCAAAUAACUUCAAAUCAUACGCCAAGAGUUCCAACACUGAGAAAGUCAAUUUCGCUAAUUACCAGGAGGAUUUCAACAGUGUCUCGCAUAAAUUCUCUGGAUACGGGGAGAAUGCGGACGGACAAAAGAUCGGGUUCAAAGUUUAUGGACCAGAUCGCAGUUUUAAAGACUAUGCCAAAACCGGUGUAACUUUUGCCAGCUACAGUAAAAGCGGCUCUGGCUCAGCCAAUGGCAGUUCGGUGAAUAAAAAUAAUAAUAAAUGGGUGGAGCCGGGCAAGUUCUUCCGCGAGUCUAUGCUGAAGACGGGAACUGUGAUGCCAAUGCCUGACAUUCGAGAUAAAAUGCCUCAAAGGUCGUUUCUGCCCCGGGCCAUCGUUUCCAAGUUCCCAUUUUCGAGUUCCAAUGUAAACGUACUCAAGGAAAUAUUCCAUGCAAGUGAAAAUUCUAGCAUGGAGAGUAUAAUCAAGGAUGCGUUGAGCGAGUGUGAGCGGCCACCAAGCAAGGGCGAGACCAAACGGUGCAUUGGCUCAGCCGAGGAUAUGAUUGACUUCGCCACCUCAGUACUGGGAAACAGCGUGACUCUUCGUACAACUCAGAACGUGCAAGGGUCAAAACAGAACAUUAUGAUUGGUUCAGUGAAGGGAAUCAACGGUGGCAAAGUCACCCAAUCUGUCUCUUGUCACCAAAGCUUGUUUCCAUAUUUGCUAUACUACUGCCACUCGGUUCCAAAAGUGAGGGUGUAUGAAGCUGAUUUAUUGGAUCCCAAAACCAAGGCUAAAAUCAAUCACGGUGUUGCCAUCUGUCACAUCGAUACGUCUGCUUGGAGCCAGACUCAUGGAGCAUUCUUGGCUUUGGGUUCGGGUCCAGGGCGGAUCGAAGUUUGUCACUGGAUUUUCGAGAAUGAUUUGACUUGGACCAUUGUUGAUCGUAUGGUUUAGCUAGCCGUUUUAAUUCAUUAUUUGGCUAUAAGUUGUAUUAAGCUAGCUAUGCGAUUUGCUUCCAGCUCGGUGUGUUUGUGUGAUUAAGUUCAACACGCUUGUUCUUAUUUUCUUUGUUUCGUAUUUUAAUAUUUUCUACGUGACCUACCUCUUCAGCUGGCAUGAUGUUUCUCAUUAAUUAAUGUCCCCUAAAUAUGUCAUAAAUUGAACAUAAAUAUAUUAUUCGACUAUGAUUGCCAGUCAUAAUAUUAAAUUUUUGGGUGGAGAAGGAUUCAAUAAUUAAUCAAUAUUGUUAUAUCUACCACUUUAUCAACUGUCUCUAAAGAAAGAGGGAAAGCAACUCAACACAUUCGCAAAACUCGAGUUCACUAGCUUUUUACCAUACAUUCGAUGUCAAUUCAAUUCCAAACCAGAAGAUCAUCGUAUCAUCAUCUAAUUACUCACCAUUAUGUAUACUACAUAAAAUUUAAUGAUAAUAUAUGUUGACAUGUUAAUAUGUUAAUAUGUUUGUCUACAACACUUCAGACCUCAACUUAAUUUAUUAAUACAGUAGCCAGGAGUUAUAUAAAUCUUUGUUUUCUUUUUAAUUUUGGAAACUCAAAAAAUAUAUAUUUAAAAAAAGAACAAACACGCACCCAAAUGAGAUAAAUAAUACAAUUCCUUUGUACAAAGUGGCGUCAACAACUUUGCUUUUACCUUCUUUAUCAUGUAAUCUUCUUCUUUUACUUUGUCCUUAAUUACUCCUUAAUCUUUCGUUUUCAUAUUUCUGUCGGUUUUCUUUAUUCGACACUUCUAACUUUAAAAAGUUGGACUAGUUAUUAUUUAACAUAUAUAUAUAUAUAUAUAUAUAUAUAUAUAUAUAUUUGCUUAUAGAAAAUCUCUAUUUCAGUAAUCAAUGGGUCUAAAGAUCAGCAUUCUGUUCUGGAUCUAAUUAUUAAGACAAGAAUUAUCUUUUAGUGUCUCCGGCAGUGAAGAGUGAACCUUUUUACUUCUUGUUCUUCCCACAUGGUUUAAAUUAUAUAUAUAUAUGAAAGGUGGUCCUUUGCCUUUGGAAAAGAGAAAAGCAAAGCACCGCCGGUGAGAGGCCAUAGAAGAUUUGGUUCUCGGAAUUGGUGGGCAGGGGUUGAAAGCGAGGUUAUGAUAUAUUUCGUUUUUCAAUUAUGUUUUAAUAAUAUUUAAUAAAUAAUACAUCAAUCUUCAUAGAAAGUGCUAAUUUAAUAUUUUUGUUAGCUCACGCUAGUUGCGGUCUCAAAGAACGUUCCUAAUUUAAUUAGUUUUGGGAGCGGAUCAGCAGCCUCUUAAAAAUAUAUCUUUAUUUUCACAUCAACUAAUAACUUUUAGUUUGUAGCUAAUCAAUGGUUGAAAUUUAUUGCCAUUGAUACUAAAAAUAUGUUAAUAUUUUUUUUCUCUGCCCCCUUCGACUUCACCCCCAUUCACUCGUCACGGUUCUUCUCCUCACUUCUCUGUGUCUCAAUUACUUCCUUCAUCUCACUGUUAUUUAUGAUUAAUUAACUUUUCUCCAUUAUCACCCACAUCUUCAUAUUCAUCGUUCCAUUGUGUACAAAUUAGAGGUACAAAGACUCAACUCUUUCAAUCCAAAUAUUAUGGUAUUGAUCUCACUGAUUUCAACUUUGGUCCUUCCAGUCCAUUCAAAUCCGAGGGUAAUAAUGAUGAUCGUUAUAAUAUUUCUGGGAACCUAAUAUAGACCCCAUUUAUAACCCAGGUUUAUGAUUUGGAGGACGGAAGAGAGAGUAGCAAAACUGGUAAUUCAGGAAGAAAUUAAGAUGGUUAAUUUUUUUUCUUUGUAAGUUGAAAGUAAAAGACUGUACAUUAAAGAUCAGAGAAAAUAAGUGAAAAGAAGUGAGAUGGAAAGAGAACUUAAAAGAGUGAGGCAGGAGAUAAUAGGGCAUGCAGGAUGUGGUCGAUGAGAGUUGAAAAAAUUAUUAAUAUUAAUACAAUAAAUCUUGACCAUUGAUUUUGCUACGAAUCUGAAGGCUAUUAACUGAUUGAAAAACAAGCAUAUUUUAAGAGACUGCUGAUCAAUCCCCAUUACUUUCCGCAAUUAUUUCUUGUUUUAAUCAGUCGUCAGAAAUUCACGCAAAAUUUUUUGGAACCAUAAUUAAUUAUACAGUAUGCAUGGUUAUAACGAUACCUAUUAAAGGAGAUAUUAACCAGUUAAUGAUUUAAAUUAACUGAACUUUUUGUCAUAACUAUUAAUAUGAAGAAUUUAAGUGGAGAAGGAAAUUAUAAACAAUAACACCAUGCACUUUAUCGAGUAAUUAUAUGAGUUUUUGCCAAGUUUAAUCAUUAAUGGUUCAUUUUCCUUCAUGUAAUCCAGAGAUUGGAGACGGAAUGUAAUGAAUACUUUGAUCGCUCUCGUCAUGUCUUUCCAAUAUUGACGUCAAGAAGACAAACUUUUGGUACUGAUGAAAGAAAUAGCCAAUAAAUUAAUAAGAAACAAAAUCAUUAUCUCUUCUGCCAAAACAUUAACAUUGUCUGUCAUUAAUUUAAAACAAGUAUUGGUAAAUAAAAACGUGAUUUUUUAACCCCACUUGAUUGAUCACCUAUCAUCGUUGUUGCAUCAUAUGUUAAUCAAGUAAAGAAAAAUCAAAGAAAGGAACUGAAAGCUUUUUUUUGUUUUUUUUCUUUUCACUGUUAGAUCUAAAAGCUCUACCACGAGCAUAAAACUGAAAAUAUUAGCGGCUAAAACUCGUCGAAAUAACAAUGGAAAAUAUACAUAAUUUGACUAUUUGGGUUGAUAAAUUUGAAUCUUUCUGUAUUACAAAGAAAAAGGCUUUCAUGUCUGUUGAUGCUUAAAUAUGCUCGCCUUUUGACCGACCAGGUUCUUUCACCAACGUUUGUGUUAUCAAUUGUUGCUUGAACCACUGGGGUUGGAAUCGCCCUCCUUUCUCUUACUAGACCUGCGUUCACCAAAAACAGAUCAAAGACGCUGGUGGUUUUGCCGGCGUAAACCCUCCGAUGCCUAAGUUAGCACAAGGUGUUUACGGGAAAACAGUACAAUUUGGAUUCAAUGAUGGUUUCUAAUCUAUUCGAAGUUUGUAAGAAAAAUGUCUGAUUGCAAUUUGGCAGCGUUUUCCCUCUCUCAAUUUUUUCUGUCCCCUUUUCUUCAUCGAUUUCUCCUUCUUUUAUAGCCGCUGUCCCACGUUUCCAUUUACCCUUUAUCCCCCCUUUUGCGGGUAGUGGCAGCCUCUCAUGGGACUUUAACUGCUUCAUUGUGGGCAAAUGUGGGAUCUCGCGUCUCCCGCAACGGUUCUAGGAAAGCGCAACUACCGUGAUUCUGUGGAAUCGUGUUCCCGCUUUUUGGGGGAUUAGUAUCGGCUCGGUAUAUGACUCUGGUCGGUAUAUUACCCUGGUCGGUACUCGUCUCUGGUUGGCUCAUGUUUAUCCAUGUGUCUUGCUCGUACUAUUUGGCUGAGGUGAUCCAUGUUGAGACAGAAUUAAUAACAUGGCCGACCUUGUGCUUUUAUUUACUUAACAAUGUCCUAUCUAUAAAGCGGCAUCAACAAUUCUGCAUGCGUUCUUUUUGACUCAGCUUUCAUCUUCUUUUAUCAUGUACUCUUCUUCGUCUUCUUCUUUUACUCUGUAAAGUGGCAUCUUCUUUAUCAGUAUUCUUCUUCUUCUUUUUCUUUGUGCUUUUCUUUUUUUUUUCUUUUUAAUUUACUUUGUACUUCUUUACUUUUGUUUUUAUGUUUCUGUUAGGUUCUUCGUUUUUCAUUAGACGCUUUAGCGAGCGGGACCGGUUAGUAUGAUUGAGUUUUAUUAAAGGUUUUUUUUUUUAAUUAUUUCUUAAUAUACUUGCUCUUAUGAGUUAAGAAACCUCUAAUUAAUAAUAUUAUUUCUAUUAUCUCAGCAAGUUCUAGGUUAUCAAAGUAUUUUUUAUUCUAUGAUUACCUGAUGACAUAACCCAAUAAACAGAUUCAUUUUAUAUGUUGAGUUACUAAAGCCUUUUAACAAAAAAUUUACAAAAAUAUCUAAUUAUUUUAGUUACUAAUUAAAUAUUCUGAUAAAUGAUUCAAGGCAUAUCAAAAUCUCCUCUCGCGCAGCCAGAAAUUCAGUCCAAAUUGAAGAGAAACUUUUCAGAACAUAUAUGAAAUCGUGAGCUUUAUUAGAGGCAAUCUUAUAGAAUAAUUAGGGACAAUAUUAAAAAUUAAAAAUUAAUAUGUGCUUUUUCAAUAAGUCUAAGCGGAGCGCCAUGUUGUUAGUUGCACGGAGAAACAAUUUGAAAGCCCAAUUGGUGAAAACUGUCCGACCCCAUCUGUCAAAGCGGGCCGCAAAAUAUCCACAGGCCAUGGGCUCCAUCAUCUGUUGUUCACGUUCUUGCUUUCAACUUGAUUUGUGCUUUUAGCACCCCUGUAUCAUGAUAAAACCCUCUUCCAUGAAAAAUUACAUUUUAAGGAUAAAUUAAGUCUAAUUGUGCUGCCUUUACUUCUCUAUUCGUAUUCCAAGUGAGAUGGAUUUGAAUGCCAAUAAUUAAUUUAAAUAAACACAUUUUAUAUUUUAAUUCAAAACUACUAAAAAAGUUCUAGCUUAGAAGCCUUCACGUUUUUUAAAUAAUUUAAUAAUGAGGAAGAAAAAUAUGUUAUUAUCAGUUUGGGCAAAUCAACUAAAUUGAUGUUGAUUUAAAAAAAAAAAAUACAUUUUCGAUGAUUGUAGAGUUUGUAGAAAAAUAAAAUUAUAGAACGUUUGUUUUAUUUGGAGAAUUUGAAUAGGAAAAAAAAAAAGAUAACUUGAUCAGACUAAAUUGUCCUUAGGUGUAGUUUCACUAGUAGAGGGGUUUUGUCAUGAUCUUGAAGGGGUGUUAAAGACAACACUCUUUCGUUUUCCAUCCGCAUAAUGUAAGCAACAAGGAGGCAGCUAGCCGCCCCACCGUAGUCCAAAAUUUCAGAAUGACAUGUUUUAUCUAGUUAGCCGAAAUUAUAAAUUUACAUCCAUUUAAUUAUUUAAAUAUAAAUUCAAGUAGAAAACUUAUUUUAAAACCACACACAAAUCUCAUUAGAUUAUAAUUUAUUAGUACCGUUGCAUAAUUUAAAUGCCCAAAACCCAAUUGAGUCUAUUAAAAACAAUCAAAUCUAAUUUAAAAUUGACAUGAUUUUGGCCAAAUAUGUAACUUUAUGUUAAAAAUUAAUUAAAGUUAAAUUUAUUAUUUAAAAUUAUAUAUCAGGUAUUCAGUCUUCAUUAUUUGACUACGGGUAAAAGCUCGUUUUAUCCCUAUAUUUUAAUAUUAGUGCUCAUUUAGUCCUUAUAUUUUUUUAAAUGCCUCAAAACAUCCUUACUCUUACAUUAUUGACAUUCCUGCUAUUACUUUUUGUUUCUUUUGACUUACUUUUACAAUAUUACCCUCUUACAAUAAUGUUUCUUUUUAUGAAAUUAAUAAAAAAAUUAAAUUAUUAAUUUAACCCCAAAAAAUAAAAUAAAAUAUAUUAAUUUUUGUGAAAGUUUACAUGUGUCCAAAAAAUAUUUUAUUGUACAAAUAAUUAAAUUACCUUUUUUUUUACAUUAUUAAAAAAAUUUAAUAUAUUAACCCCUCAGCAGUGUGUUCCAAAAAAGUAACAUAUUUAAAUUUGGUUUCUAUUUUAUUUUUUGAGAUUAAAUUGAUAAUUAAUUUUUUUUUCUUUUUACUAAUGCCCAAAAAAGUUAUUGUAAGAGGAUAAUAUUGUAAAAAUUAAGCCAAAAGCAACAAAAAACAAGAGGAAAUGUGCUAAUAAUUUAAUGUCAAGGAUUUUUUGAAGUAUUUNNNNNNNNNNNNNNNNNNNNNNNNNNNNNNNNNNNNNNNNNNNNNNNNNNNNNNNNNNNNNNNNNNNNNNNNNNNNNNNNNNNNNNNNNNNNNNNNNNNNNNNNNNNNNNNNNNNNNNNNNNNNNNNNNNAAAAAAAAGAAUAUAUAAGGCUUUUAAAGCUUUUAAAUUUUGCUCCCACUAAUAUGAUUUUCUCACUACACCACUGGCUGCAGCAAGAGAAAUAUGAGAUGUAAAAUAAAAUAUAAUUAAUAUAAAGAAAACAAGGGUUUGACAAAUAGUGUUCAGGAGUUGAAUGAAAAAAUUAGUGUGGAAAAACAAGUCUCGAAAUGGAUCUAAUUGCUUCACCUCAACAAAAUACCAAAAAUUAAAAAGUAAAAACAGAGGCUAAAAUUCAAUGAAUUCAUAACAUUUGUAGUGCUAUACAAUAUAAGUGCAUGUGUUGAAAUCGAGCUGGAUUCUCAAAUAAUUUAUUCAUUUAUUUAAAAUAUAAUCUUCAACUAUGUUUUCAAAUUGAACUGUCGAUUUACAACAACAAAUUUAAACAGUACAAAACCCUUGAUUUAAAAUAAAGAAAAGAUGUAUAGUUCAAAAUGCCAAUACCCAUGCAGCUUUUAUUCUUCUGCUCUUCGAGGUUGGUCCACAUGUGAUUUUGCAUUGGUUCAUUUCAAAGUUUAUUAUCAAGUAGAAGCUCUAAAUUAUUAAUUGGAUUAUAGUAUAUCUUGGAAUGGAGAUUGGAGAUAUCGUGAUACGUAUUCUUCUUUCACACUGAAGUUCACACGGUCUCUCAUCAGCUCCUUCUUAAUAAUUAAUAUCUGUAAGCAAUUCUUUAAUCAAAUGUAUUAUAAAAAAGUUUAAUCUUAAUUUGAAACUUUAAAAACCAUUUUAUCAUAUGCAUGAUGUGGGGACAUAUCGCCCUAAUGCGCUGUACUCUAUCCCCUCUCCCUCUCAAUGAGUCGGAAUCCAUGCGCCUGCCCAUUACGAUUUAAACUUUUAUUAUUAUUAUUAUCCCUAUUAUUUUGCACGUGAUUUUGCAUUGAUUCAAGUUAAUUUCUCUGAAGAGAUUGUAUUAAGAGUAUCCACGAAAAAGAAUAUAAUAAAAUAACAAAAAAAAUUGUAAUCUACAACUAUUUUAAUAAAACGUGAUUUUUUGGAAAUGGAAAAAAAAAAUAGCAAAAUGCAGGAGGCAGAGCCAGAAAUUCAAAUUUGUGGAGCUAACUCGUCUGUUAGUGAGCUUGGCCAGAUGGGAGCCCAAACAAAUUAAAAAUGAAUGAUUACAGAAACGGACCACCACCGACCUUGCUUGCUCUCUGAAGUUGCAUGUAUAUAUAUAUAUAUAUAUAUAUAUAUAUAUAUUCAAUCAUUCCAGUAAUGUUCUUCAGCUUCCCUGAAGAAGAACGAAGUCAUUCACAAUGCAUCAACAACUUAAGUCCCUGGGCUCCCUGCACUCCCUCUUGUUCAUGCUCCUGCUCUUGUUUAUCAGUGUACGUAGUUGGUGUAAGCAGUUACCGUUUUUAUUAAUUUAAUUACUUUAAUCUUUAAAUAAACAUUAAAAAAGGGCAUAAUUAUAAAUAUAGAGAGAGAUGACUGAUGAGAUGGAUGGCUAUUUGACCUGAUAGUAAAUUUGUUUUUGGCAUGCAGGUUGAAUUGGAACUGGCAGCAGGCGCAGCAGGUCAUGACGUGAACGCCAAAGAAAACCCAUUUACACCGAAAGCUUACCUGAUGAGAUACUGGGAC